rnacentral:rRNA from 1 species
UACGUAGGGCGCAAGCGUUGUCCGGAAUUAUUGGUCGUACAGAGCUCGUAGGCGGUUUGUCGCGUCUGCUGUGAAAACUCGAGGCUCAACCUCGGGCUUGCAGUGGGUACGGGCAGACUAGAGUGCGGUAGGGGUGACUGGAAUUCCUGGUGUAGCGGUGGAAUGCGCAGAUAUCAGGAGGAACACCGGUGGCGAAGGCGGAUCUCUGGGCCGAUACUGACGCUGAGGAGCGAAAGCGUGGGGAGCGAACAGG